AACUUCUCAACCACAUCAAGUAUGUGGCUUGGACGUGGGGGUUGUUUGCAGGCUUUUUGUUCCACAGAAGGUCGGCUCCCCUGAAAUGUAUUAGUGGUAUCUGGGCUACUGCUUAUAGGUGUGAUAAAUUAUCUAUGCCUUUGGUAUGCUGCAUGAACAGAUUGCACUGCUUAUAAUGAAAAGAUUGAAUCUGACGA
rnacentral:misc_RNA from 1 species